CUGGGUGUGGCGCAGUUGGUAGCGCGCUACCUUGGGGUGGUAGAGGCCGCCCGUUCAAGUCGGGUCACUCAGACCA
rnacentral:tRNA from 2 species